ensembl:lncRNA
GCUAUGGGGUGGAGCUGCUGCUGGGGGUGGUGGGGAUCCGUCGUCUGCUUUGGGGUCGGUGUCAGCUCCGUGGAGGGGACACUUUUCCUUCCCUCCCGUGGGAAAGACAUUCCCAUCCAUUGCAUUCCCCUCCCCACCGCCAAACCCCAAACCUCUGCAGGAGACCGCGGUGCGACCCCCACCCGAAGCUCUGCCCGUCCCCUGGCAAUGGGAUGGAGGUUCCUUUGGGUUCCAACGAGAGCCCACCCGAAGCGCAGCCCCUACCCCGGCGCUGAGUCGUGGGUCCCUCUGUGUUCCGGCAUGGAAUGGUUCUGCCGUGGGAUCGGUGUGGAGGGCGAACAGCUGAGCUGUGCUCAGCCCCAUCCGUCACCGGGAGAGAGGAGGGCUGAAGGCGAUGCUUUAAAAAUAGCUGGCGGGAUUUUCGAUCCCGAAAACCGAAUUCCAGCGGGGAGGGAAAGGAGAGGGAGGGAGAGGUGAGGGUUUCUGAAUGGCACCUGUUGGUGAGCCCCAAAUCCCCAGUGGGAGCAACCCCAGAGAGGGUCCCAACCCCAAUAGAGGUGCCCAACCCCAGAGGGGGUCCCAAUCCCAAUAGAGGUGUCCAAAACCAAUGAGGGUCCCAACCUGAAUGAAGGUCCCAACCCCAAUAGAGGUGCCCAACACCAAAGAGGGUCCCAAUCCCAAUAGAGGUGCCCAAUCCCAAUAGAGGUGCCCAACCCCAAUGAGGGUCCCAACCUCAAUGAAGGUCCCAACCCCAAUAGAGGUGCCCAACUCCAGAGAGGGUCCCAACCCCAAUAGAGGUGCCCAACACCAAAGAGGGUCCCAAUCCCAAUAGAGGUGCCCAAUCCCAAUAGAGGUGCCCAACCCCAAUGAGGGUCCCAACCUCAAUGAAGGUCCCAACCCCAAUAGAGG